rnacentral:rRNA from 1 species
GAUGAACGCUGGCGGUAUGCCUAAUACAUGCAAGUCGAACGCACUGUCCCUUUGAAAAUGAAGUGCUUGCACGGAUUCGGAUUUGGAUUUGCAAUGAGUGGCGGACGGGUGAGUAACACGUAGGUAACCUACCUUCAAGUUUGGAAUAACCAUUAGAAAUGAUAGCUAAUACCGGAUAACAUGUUUUGUCGCAUGAUGAGAUAUUGAAAGGUGCGUUUGCAUCGCUUGAAGAUGGACCUGCGGGCAUUAGCUAGUAGGUAAGGUAAUGGCUUACCUAGGCGAUGAUGCAUAGCCGAGCUGAGAGGCUGAACGGCCACAAUGGAACUGAGACACGGUCCAUACUCCUACGGGAGGCAGCAGUAGGGAAUUUUUCGCAAUGGACGAAAGUCUGACGGAGCAAUACCGCGUGUGGGAUGAAUGUUUUCGGACUGUAAACCACUGUUGCAUAGGAAGAAAAAAUAAAUUAGGAAAUGAAUUUAUCUUGACGGUACUGUGCCAGAAAGCGACGGCUAACUACGUGCCAGCAGCCGCAGUAA